ACCGCGACAUGGCCGCGCCCUCAUAAAGCGCCGCCGCCGGCGCCCGCGCGUUUGCUCCCCGUGUGCGGCGGUGCCCCGAGCGGAGCGGGCUCCGAGCUGCGCGCCGGCUGUGUGCCCCAGAAAUAAUGAGGAUAUCGGGCCCCCAUGUCGGACCACUCUGAAGAGAGGGCGACGAUGAUUGCGGCCGGCGACCUGCAGGAGUUCGUCCCCCGGGGCCGCGAGCACUGCCGCCGCCAUCCCGGCGCGCACAACUUGCAGCCGCGGGAGCUGCAGCCAGCCUCCGAGCUCUGCUCGUCUGACGGGGCGGCCGGCCUGGUGGGCUCCCUUCGCGAGGUCACCAUCCACGAGCGGCAGCGGGAAAGUUGGCAGCUGAGGAAAGGUGUCAGUGAUUUUGGUGAGGAAGUGGACUACGAUGAAGAGCUGUAUGUGGCCAGCAACAUGGUCAUCUGGAGUAAAGGGAGUAAGAGUGAAGCAUCAGCUGCCUAUAAGGCAUUCAGUGUUGACAGCCCUGUGCUGCAGGCCUUGUGGUGUGACUUCACUAUUCAGCAGGAGAAAUCUGACAAUGCUGAUGUUUCAGGCAGUAAAGAAAUAGUACAGAAAUGUGUCUGCAUAUUGCAGAGCUCGUGUGUAAAUGUACAUAGCAUAGAUGGAAAGGAUUACAUUGCUGCUUUACCCUUCCAGGUUGCAAACAUCUGGCCAACAAAAUUUGGUUUGUUAUUGGAGCGUAGUGGUUCUUCACAUGAAAUACCUCCAAGUCUACCCAGAGAACCUUUGCCUACUAUGUUCAGCAUGCUGCAUCCCUUAGAUGAGAUAACACCUCUUGUCUGUAAGUCUGGAGCAGGUGUGUUUGGCUCUGCUAGAGUGCAGUAUGUUGCUGAUUACACCUUGAGGAUUGUGUUUGUCAAUGCUGAACCUUCCAUUGUGAUGACCUACGAUACUGUACAGAGUUUGCAUACUGUCUGGGCUCUUCGUAAAGUAAAGCCAGAGGAGCAGAACAUGGUGCUGAAGUUCUCAGAGCAGCUGGGUACCCCUCAGAAUGUGGCAGCUAGCAGCUCUUUGACUGCUCAACUCAGGAGCCUUUCAAAAGGAGACUCACCUAUGGCCUCACCCUUCCAAAACUACUCAUCUAUUCACAGCCAGAGUAGAUCAGUGUCAUCACCCAGCAUGCAGUCCCGCUCGCCGUCCAUCUCCAACAUGGCUGCUUUAAGCCGUUCUCAUUCUCCUGCCCUGGGAGUACAUUCAUUCUCAGGAGUGCAGAGGUUCAACUCAUCCAGCAAUGUUCAGUCUCCGAGGAGGCACAGUAUUACCCAUUCUCCAGAGAGCACUUGCAGUGAUUCCUUUCUUGUAACAGAAACAGAACCAAUUGUUCCUGAGCUGUGUAUAGAUCAUCUGUGGACAGAAGCUAUCACAAAAAUGAGAGAGAAGAAUUCCCAGGCAUCUAAAGUGUUUAUUACCACUGACCUUUGUGGGCAGAAGUUCUUAUGCUUCUUAGUGGAAUCCCAGCUCCAGCUGCGGUGUGUAAAGUUUCAAGAGAGCAAUGAUAAGUCACAGCUGAUCUUUGGUUCUGUUACCAAUAUUCAGGCAAAGGACGCAGCUCCAGUGCAGGGUGUUGAUACACUGCUGGUUCUGGAAGGUAGUGGAAAUCUAGUGCUUUAUUCUGGAAUUGUUCGUGUGGGGAAGGUUUUUAUUCCUGGACUGCCUGCUCCAUCCCUGACAAUGUCCAACCAAAUGCCUCGGCCAAGCACUCCUUUGGAUAGUGUCAGCACUCCAUCCAAGACUUUGAAUAAACAUCUGGGGCCUCUAGAAGAGAGUAUGCUUUUGUCACCAGUUCCUGAGAUAAGGGAUUCUUCUAAACUCCAUGACUCUUCUUACGUUGAGGACUGCACUUUCCAGCAGCAUGGGACUUUCAUUCAUGCUCUAAGAGAUCCUGUCCACAACAGAGUAACUUUAGAACUCAGCAGUAACACAAUGGUUCGGAUUACGAUUCCUGAAAUUGCCACUUCAGAGCUAGUGAAAACAUGUCUGCAAGGGGUCAAGGCUAUCCUGCCCAAGGAGAUAGCUGUACAAAUGCUUGUCAAGUGGUACAAUGCUUAUAAUGCCCCUGGAGGACCAAGCUAUCGCUUGGAAUGGAAUUUAUUUGUAACUUGUCUCAUGAAUAUGAUGGGUUAUAACACAGAGAAGCUGACCUGGACGCGUAAUCUUAAUGUUGGAGGGUCACCUUCACCAGUGAGUGCACCAAAGAAGGCUAGGCCAUCAGAGACAGGGUCAGAUGAAGACUGGGAAUAUCUCCUGAGCUCUGAUUACCACAGAAAUUUUGAGUCUCAUCCUCUAUCCAAAGUCUUGGGAUUGGACCCUCUGGAAAUUUUAGCUCCAAAGGAUGACUUCUUACAGAGCCUUAGCCUGGAUUACUCAACUCUCCUUUUCACCCAUAUUCCUGCUAUUUUCUUUGUUCUUCACCUGGUCUAUGAGGAGUUCAAACUGAACCUUCUGAUGGGAGAGGAAAAUCGGUCACUUGUUGUUCUUCUGGUUCAGCUGGCCAGGGACUUGAAACUUGAAGCUUAUAUAGAUUAUUACUACAGAGACUAUCCAGCCCUUGUAAAAAGCUCUGGACAGACUUGCAUAAUUGAUCAAGGUUUCAUGCAUCAUCCCGCAUUUUUUUCUGCUGAGCCUCCAAGUAUCUUUCAGUGGCUGAGUUCCUGUCUAAAGGGAGGAAGAGUACAGCCUUAUCCUUACUUACCAGGAAUCUGUGAGAGGAGCAAACUGGUAAUACUGAGUGUGGCUCUGUACAUACUUGGUGAUGAGAGUGCUGUAUCUAAUGAAGCUUCCCCGUAUUUGUACAAAAUUACUUCAGGGCAACAAAAGCAACAAGUGGAGCAGGAUGACAAUCGAUGCUGUUUUGGACACAGUACAUCUAUUUCCAACCUCGCCGAGAAGCUAAUUAUUUGGUUGACUAAUAUUGGUUUCACCUUAAGAGAUCUGGAGACUCUCCCCUUUGGUGUGGCUCUUCCUAUCAGAGAUGCAAUAUAUUACUGCCGAGAGCAGCCUGCUUCAGACUGGCCAGAGGCAGUUUGUGUCUUGAUUGGGCGCCAGGAUCUGUCCAAACAGGCAUGUGAAGGCAACCUACUGAAGAGUAAAUCUUCUGUGGGCCCAGUGCUGUCCUCUGAUAGUCCAUCUGGAGCUGAGGCAGAAGAGGAUGAGGAUGGCAUGCACAACAUGAAUGAUGAGGUCAUGUCACUAAUAUGGAGCAAGGAUUUGAGAGUGCAGGAAGUACGCAGGCUCCUUCAGAGUGCCCGUCCUGUACGUGUCAAUGUAGUGCAGAUGCCAGAAGCCAGUGACCAUGAUUUCAUAGAAGAAAAAGAAAACCGGUUGUUACAGCUGUGCCAGCGAACCAUGGCACUGCCUGUUGGGCGAGGAAUGUUUACUUUGUUCUCCUACCAUCCUAUUCCAGCAGAACAGCUGCCCAUUCCUAAGCUGAAUCUAACUGGCCGUGCUCCUCCUAGGAACUCUACAGUUGAUCUGAACAGUGGGAAUAUCGACGUGCCUCCUAACAUGGCUUGCUGGGCUAGCUUUCACAAUGGAGUGGCUGCUGGGCUGAAGAUAGCGCCUGCUUCACGGAUAGAUUCUUCUUGGAUUAUCUAUAACAAGCCUAAGAAUGCUGAACAAGCAAAUGAAUAUGCUGGCUUCCUCAUGGCUCUGGGUCUCAGUGGACAUCUCACUAAGCUUGCCACACUCAAUAUACAUGACUACUUAACAAAGGGCCAUGAGAUGACAAGUAUCGGGCUGUUGCUUGGUGUUUCUGCUGCCAAGCUGGGCACGAUGGAUAUGGCCAUUACACGGCUUCUGAGUAUCCACAUACCUGCCCUGCUACCACCAACUUCAACAGAGCUGGAUGUCCCCCACAACGUGCAGGUGGCUGCUGUGAUAGGAAUAGGCCUUGUCUAUCAGGGCACUGCACACAGGCACACAGCUGAGGUUCUGCUGGCUGAAAUAGGACGUCCACCUGGACCAGAAAUGGAGUACUGCACAGACAGGGAGUCCUAUUCACUGGCUUCUGGACUAGCUUUGGGCAUGGUGUGCUUGGGACAUGGCAGUAAUCUGAUAGGUAUGUCAGAUCUCAACGUUCCUGAGCAGCUUUACCAGUACAUGGUUGGGGGUCACAGGCGGUUCCAAGCAGGAAUGCACAGGGAAAAGCACAAGUCUCCCAGUUACCAAAUUAAGGAAGGAGACACAAUAAAUGUGGAUGUUACUUGUCCAGGAGCCACGCUUGCCUUUGCUAUGAUCUACCUGAAGACUAAUAACAGAUCCAUUGCUGAUUGGCUUCAAGCACCAGAUACCAUGUACUUACUGGACUUUGUAAAACCAGAGUUCCUUUUAUUGAGAACCUUAGCUCGGUGCCUGAUUUUGUGGGAUGACAUCAUGCCCAGCACUGAAUGGGUUGAUAGCAACGUGCCUCAAAUCAUAAGAGAGAACAGUAUACCUCUUCAUGCAACAGAGCUGCCUUCAUCAGAAGACCUGAGUUUAGAAACACUGAUGCAAGCUCAUGUCUACAUCAUUGCUGGGGCAUGCUUGUCACUGGGAUUUCGAUUUGCUGGCUCAGAAAAUAAGGCAGCAUUUAACUGCUUGGACAAAUAUGCAACAGAUUUCCUGAAAAGUUUGUCAGCACCAACAGCUUCUAUAAUAGGUCACUAUAAUCUCGAAACGUGCCUGAGCGUCUUGCUGCUGUCUCUUGCAAUGGUGGUGGCUGGCUCUGGAAACUUGAAAGUUCUUCAGCUUUGCCGUUUCAUGCACAAGAAGACCGGCGGAGAGAUGAACUACGGCUUCCAUCUGGCUCACCACAUGGCUCUGGGGCUUCUCUUUCUGGGAGGAGGAAGGUAUUCACUGAGCACUUCAAAUUCUUCCAUUGCUGCUCUCCUUUGUGCUCUAUACCCUCACUUCCCUGUUCACAGCACAGACAAUAGGUAUCAUCUUCAGGCUUUGCGCCACUUGUAUGUGCUGGCAGCAGAUCCAAGGCUCUUGAUACCCGUUGAUGUGGACUCAAACACUCCUUGUUAUGCACUGAUAGAGGUUACAUUCAAGGGCACGCAGUGGUAUGCAGAAACCACCGAGGAAAUGAUGGCACCCACACUUCUUCCAGAGCUUCACUUACUGAAGCAGAUCAGAGUGAAGGGACCACGGUACUGGGAACUUCUAAUAGAUCUAAGUAACGAAACAAAUCAUCUCAAAUCAAUCCUUUCAAAGGGUGGUGUCUUAUAUGUGAAGCUGAGAGCUGGGCAGCUCUCCUACAAGGAGGAUCCCAUGGGCUGGCGCAGUUUCUCAGCACAGACCAUCACUCAUGGAAAUGAAGCUCGGUCAUUCAAGCCAGAAGAUAUUUCUGCUUUUACAUCUGAUCCUGCUCUGUUAUUGUUUGCUGAGUAUUUUUGCAAACCAACUGUGAACAUGGGCCAGAAACAGGAGAUGCUGGAUUUUUUCUCUUCCAUUCUCUAUGAGUGCGUUACCCAAGAAAAACCAGAGAUGCUGCCCACCUACAUAGCAAUAGAUCAGGCUGUGAGGAGAUUGGAAAGAGGAGAAAUGUCUGAGACAUUUGAGCUGGGGCAGAUAAAGCUGGUGCUAGAAUUCUUCAAUUCUAGAUGUCACCAGGGGAGGAUGAGCAGGAAUCCAAACAGAGGACUCUUCAUGAACUCUGAAUUUCUGCCUGUGAUGAAGUGCACUAUUGAUAAAGCUCUGGAUCAGUGGCUUCAAGCUGGAGGAGAUGUCUGCCUGCGUUCCUACUUAAGCAGGCAGCUUAAAGAUGAAUCCCAGCAGAACAUGCUGGCAUGCUUCCUUGUUUACCACUCGGUCCCAUUGCCUGGUCAGCUGGCAGCUGGAGGCCUGGAAGGAAUCACCAACUUCUCCGAGAUGCUUUUGAAGUUCAAGCAGUGGAAUGUGCUGGUUCGUGCAUUACUAAGGCUUGCUCCUGUGUUGCUUAAAAAUCCCCAGUCCAUGGUGCUGUAGUGUUCUGGCAUGGAAGUCCACGUUGUGCUCAUUUUACAUGAGGUUACUGAGCGACAGAGCCAGUGUUGUUCCAUGCUGUUCAAAAACAUCCAGGUAAAAACGUACUUUCUUUUGGAACUUCACAAACAACAAACUUCAGUCUUGCCCCUUGUGAUAACUGUGACCAACAGUAUAAACUGCUAGGAGAAUAAGAAAUGGUGUGAAAGUGAACAAAUAAUAAAUUUACUUUCAUAACUAAAGAUUGUUUUCAAGUACAUACUUUGUGCUGAGUUCUGAAAAGACCUUGGCUGGAACCACGUAACUUGCUUGUUUUUGUAGCUUCCUUGCUUCAGUGCAUCAUAAUCUGCUUCCAUGAGGUCCUGUAGAUGCCAGGAGAUGAGCAGCCCAGAAGAUGCCAGACUUGCUUUUCCUCUUGGGGCUUGGGUUGGAAGGGAAAGCAAGCCACCUGCCGUGCUGCUUGCAUCUUGCCAAGUGUGCUUUUCAAGAACUGACAUGAUCCUUCAGUCUCAUUCAUGCCAUUUUUUCCCUCUCACGGAGCCUAAAGUAGAAUCUGUUCUAUAGGCAUAAGGUUUCUUUGGGUCUGAACUGUUUUGCUCCGACUUGUCCACAAUACACUCAAUACUGCACUGUUUACAUCUCUCUCCUUUUGUAACCUUUGUUCUGCAAUUAGUCAGUUGCUGCUGAGAAAACACCUGCCUCCACUACGUUACGUUAUGUCUGGGCAAGAACUGAAACUACUUGCAGACAAUUUAAAUAAUUGGGCAUUCAUUUGUGUUUCCUUCAUCUCUGCUACAAUUCCUGAUGUGUUUCCCCAGCGCACUGAUCUUGGAGCGCGGCUGCUCUCUAUUUGUUCUGGGCAGGCAAAGCACUUAAUUUUUCAUAAAACAGGUGGAGUUACUCCAAUAAAAGCAGCCAGGGGUUGAAUGAUUACUUCUAGAAGAGCAGCCAGAGCCAAGUUGUUGGGCUUGUGUAUUCUGAAACUUGAAGUUUGAUCUCCUUCUGCAGUGACUUUGAUCUCCUUUUCUCCAAACCCUCACACAGGGGAGCCAGAGGGCCUUAGGGAGGGGAGAAAUGGAUGAAGACAGCUAAGAGUGAUGAUGGAGAAAGCAAAAGGUGUAAGAACACUUAAAGCUUGUAAUUUUUUUUUUCUAAAGAAUCCUUGUGUAGUAACUGAGGUUUCAGUCGUUUUAAGAUGUCCUGAAGUGAAGAGCUGUGUUCCAGCCGUGUUGAGCCCAUAACAAAUCCCAUUUCCUUCCCCUCAUUUUUUUUUUUUUUUAAAGCUGUUUGGAACUUUGGGCACCUAUCACAGGAAAGUCAAUGUUCUGUUCCAAGGGAGGUUAACUGAUGUGAUGGACAAAGCACAGAACUCAGAAUAGCUGCCCUUGAGCUGCUCCCAGUGACCUGGGCUGCCUGUCCUCCAGCUCCUGCAGCUGGCUCUGGGUCAGAGCAGGGGCUGCAGAAGAAGGUGAGCCUGAUCACUGGGUGGAGCAGUGUGUGCUGCAGGAAAUCAGAUGUGACUGGAGUGCAUGAGGAGAUGGAGGAUCUGCAUUUGGGAGAGAGGGGAGCACCUGGCAGUGCCUCAAUGGCAGCUGAAGACAGACACGUUAGGUUUUAGUUGUAUAAAAAGAAAACCAAAACCCACCUAUUCCACAGGCACCUCCUUUGGUGUGUGAGUUAAACCUCGGGGCUUCAGGCUGACUCUGUCCCCUCCCAGAUGGCCUCUGCCUGAGCACCUGGGCAGAGGUAAAAUUUCCACAACUGGGGAAAUGUGCCAGGCACAAGCUUUGCAGAAAACUCGAGGUGGUUUUGAAACCUUGAAUGCAAUGGGCCGACUGCUGACUUGGGAAGGGGAAGCUCUGGGAGCUGCUGCUUGGUUUUGGUUCUGCCUUAUGUGCUCCUGGCUGGGGGAGGCUGACAUCCUCCUCUGGGUUUACAAAAGUCUCAUAGGUGCCUGUGAGAGGGUGCUGUUGCUGCCCAGAGGGAUAGGUGAGGCUUUGGCUGGCAGUUGGCCACCAGCACAGGGCUGCCGACUGCUGAUCCUGCUGCACCAAACCCCCAAAAUCAAAGAUUUGGGAGCUCAGCUGAGGAAGGAGCUGUGGAGCGCAGAUGUUGGUGCGUCCAGCGCGGUGCUGGCAGCGCAGCCGGGAGCUGCCUGCAGGAAGGCGGGCGCGUGGGUGUGCGUGUGUGCGAGCUGCGCGAAGCCGAGAGGCUUCCUGUUUCCUUUUUAAGCUUUUAACAGAAUUUGAAAGCAGCCACCGCCGCGACCUGGACCAAUGAUCUGGGCAGAGCGCGGGGGGGAGUUUCAGCUCAGCAGCUCUGGCGCCCGUUACAAACAGCGGCCUUCGCUCCCGGCCACGCGCAGCCCGCGCUCAUCUCAGUGCCCGCUCCCCCGGCCGCCCAGGGGCCCCGGCUGGAGCGGGAGCACAGGAGAUCCGUGGGGAUGCCGGAGCGCAGCAGCGGGUUGGCACUGGCAGCCCCACGGAGCGUGAGCCGGGCACGGAGGGCUUCUUCCCCACGAGGAAAUAUCUCAGUGGAGGCAUCCAACGAGACAAGGAGCAUGGUUGUUUCUGCCGUGCUAAGAAGAAAGCCACAAUUGGACAAAGUGCACUCAGAGCAAACUUUGGGACUUUUCAUCCCCACCAUGAGGCUGGAAGGCUCUUCUCUUCAGUAUUAUGUUCCAGCACUUCAGCAGAAAAUAAACCAGGCGCAAGAAAAUGGCACUGGCUUAUAAAAGGUGAAAAAAAAAAAGAG